rnacentral:SRP_RNA from 1 species
GCCAGGCAUAGUGGUGUGUGCCUGUAAUCCCAGCUACUAGGGAAGCUGAGGUGGGAGGAUCACUUGAGCCCGGGCUAUCAAGGCUGCAGUGAGCCAAGAUGGCACCACUGCACUCCAGCAUGGGUGACAGAGUGAGACCCCGUCUCAA